GUGGAGGGUUCGAUUCUGGCUCAGGAUGAACGCUGGCGGCGUGCUUAACACAUGCAAGUCGAACGGGAUCCCUGGCAGCUUGCUGCCGGGGUGAGAGUGGCGAACGGGUGAGUAAUGCGUGACCGACCUGCCCCAUGCACCGGAAUAGCUCCUGGAAACGGGUGGUAAUGCCGGAUGUUCCACAUGAGCGCAUGCGAGUGUGGGAAAGGCUUUUGCGGCAUGGGAUGGGGUCGCGUCCUAUCAGCUUGUUGGUGGGGUAACGGCCUACCAAGGCGUUGACGGGUAGCCGGCCUGAGAGGGCGACCGGCCACAUUGGGACUGAGAUACGGCCCAGACUCCUACGGGAGGCAGCAGUGGGGAAUAUUGCACAAUGGGCGCAAGCCUGAUGCAGCGACGCCGCGUGCGGGAUGGAGGCCUUCGGGUUGUAAACCGCUUUUGUUCAAGGGCAAGGCACGGUUUCGGCCGUGUUGAGUGGAUUGUUCGAAUAAGCACCGGCUAACUACGUGCCAGCAGCCGCGGUAAUACGUAGGGUGCAAGCGUUAUCCGGAUUUAUUGGGCGUAAAR
rnacentral:rRNA from 1 species